rnacentral:rRNA from 1 species
UACGUAGGGUGCGAGCGUUGUCCGGAAUUACUGGGCGUAAAGAGCUCGUAGGUGGUUUGUCGCGUUGUCCGUGAAAACUCACAACUCAAUUGUGGGCGUGCGGGCGAUACGGGCAGACUGGAGUACUGCAGGGGAGACUGGAAUUCCUGGUGUAGCGGUGGAAUGCGCUGAUAUCAGGAGGAACACCGGUGGCGAAGGCGGGUCUCUGGGCAGUAACUGACGCUGAGGAGCGAAAGCGUGGGGAGCGAACAGG